AACCUAACCCUGUUAAAAUUAUUAGCAGGUAUGGUUAAAAAACCUUACGAAUAAAAACGGCUUCAUUAGUCGGUCCUAUUCGUAAGGUCUGCUUGGGAAACUUUGCAGGAUGCUCGUAAGAGUAUC
rnacentral:sRNA from 12 species